UACGUAGGUGGCAAGCGUUUAUCCGGAUUUACUGGGCGUAAAGAGCGCGCAGGCGGUCGUUCAAGUCGCGUGUGAAAGCCCCCGGCUCAACUGGGGAGGGUCACGCGAUACUGAUCGACUCGAAGGCAGGAGAGGGAGUGGAAUUCCCGGUGUAGUGGUGAAAUGGCGACAAUAUCAGGAGGAACACCGGUGGCGAAGGCGGGUCUCUGGGCCGAUACUGACGCUGAGGAGCGAAAGCGUGGGGAGCGAACAGG
rnacentral:rRNA from 1 species